rnacentral:ncRNA from 1 species
UGGUCCUAGCCUUGAAGUCAAUUCUUACUUAAUUUACACAUGCAAGUCUCCGCACCCCUGUGAGAACGCCCUCAUCUUCCUGACAGGAAUAGGGAGCUGGUAUCAGGCACAAUUUUUAGCCCAAGACACCUAGUUUGACCACACCCACAAGGGCAACCAGCAGUGAUUAACAUUGAGUAUAAGCGAUAGCUUGACUCAGUCAAAGAAAAUAGGGCCGGCAAAUCUGGUGCCAGCCGCCGCGGUUACACCACGAGGCCCAAAUUGAUUUUUUCGGCGUAAAGCGUGAUUAAAGCGCUAACAAAUUAUAGCUACACCAGAAUUAGGCCGUGACACGCUUAUUCCUGAGAAACCCGUAAACGAAAGUUGCUAUAAUUAUUAUAACUUGAACUCACGACCGCUGGGGAACAAACUGGGAUUAGAUACCCCACUAUGCCCAGCCGUAAACUUUAAAUUACAGCCAUAUCGCCAGGGAACUACGAGCCAAGCUUAAAACCCAAAGGACUUGACGGUACCCCACAUCCACCUAGAGGAGCCUGUCCUAUAAUCGAUAACCCCCGCUUAACCUCACCAUUUUUAGUCUAUCAGCCUGUAUACCUCCGUCGCCAGCUUACCUCGUGAGUGACCUCUAGUGAGCUCAAUGUUCUUACAUCAAUACGUCAGGUCAAGGUGCAGUAAAUGAAAUGGGAAGAGAUGGGCUACACUCUCUAUAUUAGAGAAUACGGAAAACUACUUAUGAAACUUAGUUAAAAGGCGGAUUUAGAAGUAAAAAGAGACCAUAAAGCUCCUUUUAACAGGGCACUGGGGUGUGUACACACCGCCCGUCACCCUCUUCAAGGCCAAAAAAUAGUACUUAACACAGAACAACUAAUUAGAAGAGGCAAGUCGUAACAUGGUAAGUAUACCGGAAGGUGUGCUUGGAAA